CUGAUUCUGCCCUUGAGCAGCUGAGGCUUUCCAUGCAGAUGGACAUAGGCUCAGUUCCUGCCAUCUCGACUGAAUAAGCUAAUAGCAAACUAGUUGUGUAUUGUUGCCAGGGAAACUGCAUGGAUAUGCAAGAGCUGAACUUGACUCAAGGCAUCUUGGCCUUUUAGCUAAUGGCAAGGCUAUGUCUCCAUUACGCAACAAAGGCGCCUUAAGAAAGGCCCCUUUCCAUUAAUCCCAAUAGACACCGACUGCCCUGAGGACCUGAUUACAGGACAUUUUCUAUGUCAUGGAGAUGCAGUCCAAGUGAGCUGCAACAUCCCUGUCUAAACAAAGCCACAGAACGACUGUAAUUGGUAUACUGCAUGUAGAUCUGCUCACCAUGCUUCAGAAAAGGAAAUGUAACUGUUAGAAGAAGUUUGUGAAUCUUUCAGAAUUAUUUAGAUUUAUGCAGGAAUGGCUUCUAAAAAUGUGAUCCGAGUUGAAAUAAGAAAUAAACGCAGUCUUAUUUAAUAACUCACACACACAACAUUCUACAGUGCCAUAUCCUUACCGAACUGCUUAGCAGGAAGGAAAUUCCAUAGGUGUGACUCAGAAGCAUAUUUACAUUUAUUACUUUUCUGAGAGAGAAGAACUAGGAAAAGCAAAGGUCACUUUGAGCAGGGACUCAAGCUGAAGAAGACUGCUCUCGCCAGACCAAGAAAGCCAGGAGAAGCACAGCCCGUGUAACAUCUUGCAUGGCAGGGAGACAAAAUUCUGCUCCUUAUCACUUGCCCAAGCGGAUCCUUUUCAAGUGUGGAAAGCCUUUGAUGUUUAGCUUCCCCUGGUGUUGUCCUGCCAAGAAAGGUGGGUGGAAGGGAAGGUUAUGUUUUAAAUAUGUUUUAAGA
rnacentral:lncRNA from 1 species